rnacentral:rRNA from 1 species
UACGAAGGGGGCUAGCGUUGCUCGGAAUUACUGGGCGUAAAGCGCACGGUAGGCGGAUUGUUAAGUCGGGGGUGAAAUCCUGGAGCUCAACUCCAGAACUGCCUUCGAUACUGGCGAUCUUGAGUCCGGAAGAGGUGAGUGGAACUCCUAGUGUAGAGGUGGAAUUCGUAGAUAUUAGGAAGAACACCAGUGGCGGAAGGCGGCUCACUGGUCCGGUACUGGACGCUGAGGUGCG